rnacentral:rRNA from 1 species
GGUCCGAACCCACGAGCGUUGAAAAGCUCGGGGAUGACUUGUGGGUAGCGGUGAAAUUCCAAUCGAGCCCGGAGAUAGCUGGUUCUCCCCGAAAUAGCUUUAGGGCUAGCCUCAAGGUGAGAGAUACGGAGGUAGAGCACUGAAUGUCCUAGGGGGUAUUGCACCUACCGAAGACUAUCAAACUCCGAAUGCCGUCAUCUUAUACUUGGGAGUCAGACUGUGGGUGAUAAGAUUCAUAGUCGAAAGGGCAACAGCCCAGAUCGUCAGCUAAGGUCCCUAAAUGUAAGUUAAGUGGUAAAGGAUGUGGGAUUGCACAGACAACCAGGAUGUUGGCUUAGAAGCAGCCACUCAUUCAAAGAGUGCGUAAUAGCUCACUGGUCGAGUGAUCCUGCGCCGAAGAUUUCCGGGGCUAAAACUUACUACCGAAGCUACGGCAUCAGUAAUGAUGGGUAGGGGAGCUUCCCAUACGGGUUGAAGCAUGACCGUAAGGACAUGUGGACAGUAUGGGAGUGAGAAUGUUGGCAUGAGUAGCGAGAUGUGGGUGAGAAUCCCACAGGCCGUAAACCCAAGGUUUCCAGGGGAAGGUUCGUCCGCCCUGGGUUAGUCGGGACCUAAGCUGAGGCCGAAAGGCGUAGGUGAUGGACAACAGGUUGAUAUUCCUGUACUACCGAUAACCGUUUGAGAGAAGGGAUGACACAGUAGGAUAAGCUAAGCACACUGUUGGUUAUGUGUGCCCAAGCAUUGAGGCAGUCAAAGUAGGCAAAUCCGCUUUGAUAAUGCUGGGAUGUGAUGGGGAGCGAAAUUUAGUAGCGAAGUAGCUGAUUUCACACUGUCAAGAAAAGUCUCUAUCGAGGUUAAAGGUACCCGUACCGCAAACCGACACAGGUGGGUGAGGAGAGUAUCCUAAGGCCAGCGAGAGAACUGUUGUUAAGGAACUCGGCAAAAUGACCCCGUAACUUAGGGAUAAGGGGUGCCACCAUCAGGUGGCCGCAGAGAAUAGGCCCAAGCGACUGUUUACCAAAAACAUAGGUUUCUGCUAAGUCGCAAGACGAUGUAUAGGAGCUGACGCCUGCCCGGUGCUGGAAGGUUAAGGGGAUCUGUUAGAGCAAUCGAAGCAGUGAACUUAAGCCCCAGUAAACGGCGGCCGUAACUAUAACGGUCCUAAGGUAGCGAAAUUCCUUGUCGGGUAAGUUCCGACCCGCACGAAAGGCGUAACGAUUUGGGCACUGUCUCAACAACAGACUCGGUGAAAUUGUAAUUCCGGUGAAGAUGCCGGAUACCUGCGACAGGACGGAAAGACCCCAUGGAGCUUUACUGUAGCUUGACAUUGGGUC